UGGGGAAUAUUGCGCAAUGGGCGAAAGCCUGACGCAGCGACGCCGCGUGAGGGAUGAAGGUUUUCGGAUCGUAAACCUCUGUCAGAAGGGAAGAAACCGCACAGUGCUAAUCAGCAGUGCCUUGACGGUACCUUCAAAGGAAGCACCGGCUAACUACGUGCCAGCAGCCGCGGUAAUACGGAGGGUGCAAGCGUUAAUCGGAAUUACUGGGCGUAAAGCGCACGUAGGCUGCUUUGUAAGUCAGGGGUGAAAUCCCACGGCUCAACCGUGGAACUGCCGUUGAUACUGCUUAGCUUGAAUCCGGGAGAGGGUGGCGGAAUUCCAGGUGUAGGAGUGAAAUCCGUAGAUAUCUGGAGGAACAUCAGUGGCGAAGGCGGCCACCUGGACCGGUAUUGACGCUGAGGUGCGAAAGCGUGGGGAGCAAACAGG
rnacentral:rRNA from 1 species